rnacentral:rRNA from 1 species
GACGUACGCUGGCGGCGUGCUUAACACAUGCAAGUCGAACGGAAAGGCCCUGCUUUUGUGGGGUGCUCGAGUGGCGAACGGGUGAGUAACACGUGAGUAACCUGCCCUUGACUUUGGGAUAACUUCAGGAAACUGGGACUAAUACCGGAUAGGAGCUCCUGCUGCAUGGUGGGGGUUGGAAAGUUUCGGCGGUUGGGGAUGGACUCGCGGGUUAUCAGCUUGUUGGUGGGGUAGUGGCUGACCAAGGCUUUGACGGGUAGCCGGCCGGGGAGGGGGGACGGCCACAUUGGGACUGGGAUACGGCCCAGACUCCUACGGGAGGCAGCAGUGGGGAAUAUUGCACAAUGGGCGGAAGCCUGAUGCAGCAACGCCGCGUGCGGGAUGACGGCCUUCGGGUUGUAAACCGCUUUCGCCUGUGACGAAGCGUGAGUGACGGUAAUGGGUAAAGAAGCACCGGCUAACUACGUGCCAGCCGCCGCCGUAACAC